rnacentral:rRNA from 1 species
GCAGCAGCCGCGGUAAUACGUAGGUGGCAAGCGUUGUCCGGAAUUAUUGGGCGUAAAGCGCGCGCAGGCGGCUUCCCAAGUCCCUCUUAAAAGUGCGGGGCUUAACCCCGUGAUGGGAAGGAAACUGGGAAGCUGGAGUAUCGGAGAGGAAAGUGGAAUUCCUAGUGUAGCGGUGAAAUGCGUAGAGAUUAGGAAGAACACCGGUGGCGAAGGCGACUUUCUGGACGAAAACUGACGCUGAGGCGCGAAAGCGUGGGGAGCAAACAGGAUUAGAUACCCGCGUAGUCCCUGUCUCUUAUACA